GGCUUUGCUCAGUGGCAGUAUCAUAGUGAAUGAGGUUUAUCCAAGGUGUGAUUAUUACUAAUUGAAAACUCUAUAUGCAAGACA
rnacentral:snRNA from 1 species